CUCAACAGCUCUAGUGUGGGGAAGACUCCUCUGAAAGAGCUGGACGUGCAGAUCAGGAAGCACCUUCCACAGGUCCAAGGAGGAGUGCUGGGGAGCCUGGAGAUAUAGCAGGCUGGUGGGCAGACCGAGGGGAGGGGCCUAAAGUUAACUGGGCCGGGGGAGGCAACAAUGAGAGGGCACAGAAAUAACAGUCGGUGGGGCAGAAGGUCAGAGAGGGCGGUGGACCCUGAAACAGGGCCUGGAGAGCUGUUGGCAGUAACCCUCACUUUAGUGAACUUCUUGGGACACUAGAAAGAAAGGCUCAGAAACAACCUGGUUACAUGGAGAACCCCUGUGGGGAGUUUGCGGACCACUGGAGAGGAGGAUUCUGGGGAAAGACAGGCAUGCUUGUAAUUCAAGGUGAUUAUUCAAGAGCGGACUCUGAGCGUCUAGAUCUGGAGCCAACUGAACUUGAUUAAUCUGUGAGUUCUUCUUGGCAUUGAGCUUGAGCAUGAACAUAUGGAAUUACAGCCUGACUACCCACCACCCGCAACCUCAAUCCUCUGGAGAAACUUUGAGAGCUUGAGCCUUUGUGAAAUUGCAUCUUUGGAACACACAACCAUAUCUGACUCUUACAGGGUGACAAAUGGAAAAGAACUUUCCAGACAAGCUCAGGACAGUCAGAGUCACUGCAAUGCCCUGUGGCAUAUGCAACAUCCAUGCCUUCUUUCAACAAUUUCCCUCGUGAUUGGGGCUUCGGCAUCAUGUACUCACUGGCCUCAGGUGGCCUUGGCUUCUUCAGGGUGUGGAACAUAUGACUGAGGUCUGAGCAAUCAGGAUAUUUCAGUUCCCAGUCAGGGACUGAAUAUGACACAAACAGGGCAAAUAAAAUAAAAUCCUAUUGAGCUUAAAGCCUAGAAGAUACACAAUCUAGGUCUUCUGUAGAAAUCUCAAGAUCAAGAAGACAGACUCUCUGAAAAUAAGGCCAAAACACAGAAUAGGCCAUGGCUAAUUGACCAUGUGCUAAGGAGAAGCUGGGUCCUGGUAACACAGGUUGGUAUUUGCAGCAAACUACCCUUGAACCCAAUACUACCCCUGGACUUUUCUGUUAUCUUAGCUGGUAAAUUACAUUUUUCCAAAGGCCUAAUUGGGUUGGAUUUUUGGUCUUUUAGAACCAAAUGAAUUCUAACUAUAUGUUCCAUGUAAGCAUGGAUCUUGCUUCAUGGGCUAUGGAAGAAAAUGGGGAGGGGGGAGCCUCCCAGGGCAUCCAGGUUGGCUAAUCAAGGAUGAAAGUCCAAUGCCAGGCAGUAAUUCAGUUUUGUUAUUCUUGUUGAGCAGGACAUGACAUGUGCUCUGGAUCAGUGAGUACUGUAAAUUAUUCUCGUUCUUGCCUUUCCCAAAUGGUGGCUUUAUGGCCAUUCUCUUAUUCUGUCUCCACCAUGGUACACUGAAUGAAUUAGGGGUUGCCACAUUUAUUAUGAGGCAUGACAUUUUGCCUUGACUGACAAAAUUGAAUAUCGUCCAGAGAUCUUAGGCUUGAUACUGGAUUAGAUGUGGAUGAUCUUUUUUUGACAAAUAGUUUAUUUUAAGUAGGUGCAGAGACUUGCAAGGGGUGGUAGGAAGGAUGUAUGUGUAUGUGUGUUCUGGGCAGCCAAAAGAGGGGAUGUAAUGGAUUCCAGUUGUAUUUUGCCACCCAGUCAAUAUUUACUCUUAUUCUGAUAACUCUACGUGAUUUCCCCCGGGGAGGUCACCUCAUCCUGAUUCCCUCGAUAAUACAUUCAUAUCUAGAUGUGGAACAUCCAAUUUGGUAUCUACACGUGACCCAAACAAAGCCAAAGAUACCCCGUGGGGCUUUUUCUAAACACUCUGGGAUAUUCUUGCUCUUUCUAGCUGGAAUUGAAGCUUAAAGAAGAGAAUAUCUGAAAUGACUAUAGCCAUCUUAUGACCACAGAGAGAGAACUUACUUGAGUAUAAAGCCCACCGUAAGGAGGACAGCAGAUCUAUCUGAGCCAAAAGAUGGCGAUGUGAUAUUUUAAAUCCAUGCCUUAUGGUACCCGAAGUCAAUUCCGUCCUUAGACUUUUCAGGUAAGUGAGGCCACCCUUUCCAAUUUAUCAAAAUAUACUUUCUGCUGGGUUUUCUGCCAUUUUCAACUGGAAGAGUCCCAACCGAUAUCCUGGACAAGUACCCACACUCCUGGAGAUGAUGUCCUGAAAGGAGAGCUUGCUCACUUGAGAGCAGGUAGUUUAUUUGGAAGAUAAUCCCUGGAAGUAGAAAUGAGGGAGUGGGGAGAGUGAGACAGGAAGGAUCAACCCUUCUGGGGAUGCUCUGUGUACAGCUCAGUGUUGAAUGCAACUCAAAAUUGUCCCACCAGGAGAGAGGGAGCCUCUGACAUUUAUACACUGGCCCCUGUCCCUGUUAUUUGAGGGUUGCUUUCAAAGGUCUUAACUCCAGUGUAUUUACGGAUUGCAAAUAACUGAAGCAAAGCUGAUUGCGAUAGUUUUGGGGAAAGCUCUGAGCCAGCAAAGCAGAAGGACCCCGAGAAAUGCACUUGAUGUGAGUCACUGGCAGCAUGCACACGUCACAGUUGUACUGAAACUAGACAAACCAAAAAGAAGGAACAUGGUGUGCCACAGGCAUCAACUAUAGAAUCCACUUCUGAUUUGUCCCUUUCAAAUUUCUCCAAUAACGGACUUUAAAAUUUGUUUUUCUAAGAAUUGAAAGACCUACUUACCCUGAUCUUGAGCUUGACUGUUCCAGUGGAACGCUUCCAAAUCUUCAAACUGGUAUCUCCAAUACCAUGUUAGUGGAGCAGGCCUUCAUAAGGGGACUCCCGAAAAUUUACCGCUCCCAGGCCUACUCCUUAAAGAUGCUGGUUUGAUUAAGGUAAAUUUAUCAGUGGGAUAUGAGACAUUUAUAAAAAUAAAAAAUCUCCUAGCAGUGAUGACCCAAAUUUGGAUGAGUCCAGGGCUCAAUGGCCAUGGACUCUGACUAUCUAUAUCUGAAGAAGCUGAGACAAGCCAAGACAGCCAAAGGUCCCAUGAGAC
ensembl:lncRNA